rnacentral:snoRNA from 13 species
GAUGUGUGAUGACAAAAUGUUUCGGUCCCAAAUGACAUUCCAUGAUUUGACUGUUGCAUUUUUCCUGACAUC